AUGAUCACAUUCAAAAUGCAACUCAAGAGAUCUUGCAUCCGUUUCAGGUGGCUGCUUCCUGGGGACGAAAGCACCGUGCAAAGUGUCUGUGCGGGUGAAAGCCCAACUGCCCUGCCGCUUACCUUCAGCCUGCCUGUAAGAGGAGGCACCUCGCCACCAGAGAGGGCCAACUGGGGCCACGGGGACCCCCGACGGCACCAGGGGAAGCGUCUCCCCUUCAGCUCGAUCCCCUCCAGUUUGUCAGGAAAUAUGCCCUGCCCCUCAGAAAAGGCUCUGCCCUCCCUCUGGAUAUCAGUGCUAAGAAUAUUAUCACCAUUUUUAGAAUAAUUGGAACCAGAAUAUAUAGGAUUUUGUAUUCGACUUUUCCCCCAAUUAUCGUGAACGUCGCAUAUGCUCCUGACUGUUGGUUGCCAAACGCUUAUAGUGUUGGAGCUGGGGAAGCAGCCGUGGACAGGCCAGGCCCUCGCCGUAAGCGGAUGUUCUGGUAGGGAGAGAAGGUCAAGAGUACAGGAGACGAGAGAGACCGUGUCAGCUCCGGAGGUGCCGGACUAGCAGUGUGGAGGAAGGCAGCGUGAUAAGGAGUAGGAAGGCUGCGUGGGAAGGCCUUCCCAAGAGGGGACACAGGACUGAGAUUCCAAGAACCAGACGAAGCCAGUCACAGUGAGUCCUGGGGUAGGAGGGCAUCUCGGGGGCACCGCAGGCACGCGGACCCGCAGGGAGCAGUACCCCGGUCCAAGGGUCAGAGACAAGGCCGCUGGGUCUGGAAAGAGUGACGAGGGGACCCGGGGCCGAGGCGAGGUGGGAGGGGUGGGACGGUCAGGCCUGCUGCGUGAUCCCAGCCUUCCCCGGCAAAGCAUGUUUUGGGAGACCUUGCUCCGGAUCCUAAAGCGUCUGCGGCGGCCGGCCACCAGCGCGGGUGGGCUGCCUCGGCCAGUUCUCAGUCGGAUUUUCAGAGGCCAACGCAGUUUUUUAAAGUGAGCAUGGGCUUGACUUUCAGCUUAAUGUUUAAAAGGGCGGAGGACGUACUUUUGUCUGGUUUGCUCCAACCCCUUUGCUCCCAAAGAAGCUGUCACUCUGGGGAUCGCUGGGUGGCUCAGCGGUUUACACCGCCUUCAGCCCAGGGUGUGAUCCUGAAGACUCGAGAUCGAGUCCCAUGUCGGGCUCCCUGCAUGGAGCCUGCUUCUCCCUCUGCCUCUCUCUCUGUGUCUCAUGAGUAAAUAAAUAAAAUCUUAAAAAAAAAAAAAAAAAAAGA
rnacentral:lncRNA from 12 species